rnacentral:rRNA from 1 species
AACGACUCUCGGCAACGGAUAUCUCGGCUCUCGCAUCGAUGAAGAACGUAGCGAAAUGCGAUACAUGGUGUGAAUUGCAGAAUCCCGUGAACCAUCGAGUCUUUGAACGCAAGUUGCGCCCAAAGCCAUCAGGUUGAGGGCACGUC